AGCAGUAGCCACGGGAACACGUAGGGUGCAAGCGUUGUCCGGAAUUAUAGGGCGUAAAGAGCUCGUAGGCGGUUUGUCGCGUCGGCUGUGAAAUCGCGGGGCUCAACCCCGCGCCUGCAGCCGAUACGGGCAAACUAGAAUUCGGUAGGGGAGGCUGGAAUUCCUGGUGUAGCGGUGAAAUGCGCAGAUAUCAGGAGGAACACCGGUGGCGAAGGCGGGUCUCUGGGCCGGUAUUGACGCUGAGGAGCGAAAGCGUGGGGAGCAAACAGGAUUAGAGACCCCUGUAGUCCCUGUCUCUUAUAC
rnacentral:rRNA from 1 species